rnacentral:misc_RNA from 1 species
GAGACGUUGCCCUUCGGGGUCGACCUCCCACCCUAUGUUUAUCAUACCUCUGUUGCUUUGGCAGGCCCGUCCUCGGACCACCGGCUCCGGCCGGUCCGUGCCUGCCAGGGGACCUAAAACUCUGUUUGUUAAUGCAGUCUGAGUACUAUAUAAUAGUUAAAACUUUCAACAACGGAUCUCUUGGUUCU